UCGCGGCUUAUCACCGGCAGUCCCCUUAGAGUGCCCAACUGAAUGAUGGCAACUAAGGGCGAGGGUUGCGCUCGUUGCGGGACUUAACCCAACAUCUCACGACACGAGCUGACGACGGCCAUGCAGCACCUGUGUUCAGGUUCUCUUUCGAGCACGAAACCAUCUCUGGUAACUUCCUGACAUGUCAAGGGUAGGUAAGGUUUUUCGCGUUGCAUCGAAUUAAACCACAUCAUCCACCGCUUGUGCGGGUCCCCGUCAAUUCCUUUGAGUUUUAAUCUUGCGGCCGUACUCCCCAGGCGGGGAACUUAAUGCGUUAGCUUCGGCACGGACGGAGUCGACACCGCCCACACCUAGUUCCCGUCGUUUACGGCGUGGACUAC
rnacentral:misc_RNA from 1 species